rnacentral:rRNA from 1 species
UACGAAGGGGGCUAGCGUUGUUCGGAAUCACUGGGCGUAAAGGGCGCGUAGGCGGCCGUUCAAGUCGGGGGUGAAAGCCUGUGGCUCAACCACAGAAUGCCCUUCGAUACUGGACGGCUCGAGACCGGAAGAGGUCAGUGGAACUCCGAGUGUAGAGGUGAAAUUCGUAGAUAUUCGGAAGAACACCAGUGGCGAAGGCGGCUCACUGGUCCGGUACUGACGCUGAGGUGCGAAAGCGUGGGGAGCAAACAGG